rnacentral:rRNA from 1 species
UUUAUGGAGAGUUUGAUCCUGGCUCAGGAUGAACGCUGGCGGCGUGCCUAAUACAUGCAAGUCGAGCGAACGGACGAGAAGCUUGCUUCUCUGAUGUUAGCGGCGGACGGGUGAGUAACACGUGGAUAACCUACCUAUAAGACUGGGAUAACUUCGGGAAACCGGAGCUAAUACCGGAUAAUAUUUUGAACCGCAUGGUUCAAAAGUGAAAGACGGUCUUGCUGUCACUUAUAGAUGGAUCCGCGCUGCAUUAGCUAGUUGGUAAGGUAACGGCUUACCAAGGCAACGAUGCAUAGCCGACCUGAGAGGGUGAUCGGCCACACUGGAACUGAGACACGGUGGAGACUCCUACGGGAGGCAGCAGUAGGGAAUCUUCCGCAAUGGGCGAAAGCCUGACGGAGCAACGCCGCGUGAGUGAUGAAGGUCUUCGGAUCGUAAAACUCUGUUAUUAGGGAAGAACAUAUGUGUAAGUAACUGUGCACAUCUUGACGGUACCUAAUCAGAAAGCCACGGCUAACUACGUGCCAGCAGCCGCGGUAAUACGUAGGUGGCAAGCGUUAUCCGGAAUUAUUGGGCGUAAAGCGCGCGUAGGCGGUUUUUUAAGUCUGAUGUGAAAGCCCACGGCUCAACCGUGGAGGGUCAUUGGAAACUGGAAAACUUGAGUGCAGAAGAGGAAAGUGGAAUUCCAUGUGUAGCGGUGAAAUGCGCAGAGAUAUGGAGGAACACCAGUGGCGAAGGCGACUUUCUGGUCUGUAACUGACGCUGAUGUGCGAAAGCGUGGGGAUCAAACAGGAUUAGAUACCCUGGUAGUCCACGCCGUAAACGAUGAGUGCUAAGUGUUAGGGGGUUUCCGCCCCUUAGUGCUGCAGCUAACGCAUUAAGCACUCCGCCUGGGGAGUACGACCGCAAGGUUGAAACUCAAAGGAAUUGACGGGGACCGCACAAGCGGUGGAGCAUGUGGUUUAAUUCGAAGCAACGCGAAGAACCUUACCAAAUCUUGACAUCCUUUGACAACUCUAGAGAUAGAGCCUUCCCCUUCGGGGGACAAAGUGACAGGUGGUGCAUGGUUGUCGUCAGCUCGUGUCGUGAGAUGUUGGGUUAAGUCCCGCAACGAGCGCAACCCUUAAGCUUAGUUGCCAUCAUUAAGUUGGGCACUCUAAGUUGACUGCCGGUGACAAACCGGAGGAAGGUGGGGAUGACGUCAAAUCAUCAUGCCCCUUAUGAUUUGGGCUACACACGUGCUACAAUGGACAAUACAAAGGGCAGCGAAACCGUGAGGUCAAGCAAAUCCCAUAAAGUUGUUCUCAGUUCGGAUUGUAGUCUGCAACUCGACUACAUGAAGCUGGAAUCGCUAGUAAUCGUAGAUCAGCAUGCUACGGUGAAUACGUUCCCGGGUCUUGUACACACCGCCCGUCACACCACGAGAGUUUGUAACACCCGAAGCCGGUGGAGUAACCUUUUAGGAGCUAGCCGUCGAAGGUGGGACAAAUGAUUGGGGUGAAGUCGUAACAAGGUAGCCGUAUCGGAAGGUGCGGCUGGAUCACCUCCUUU